CGGAGAGAGAAAGAUGGGGUGCUGGGGGAUUUCGGCUUUUCUGCCCUCCAGAGUUCCAGGACCGGCUAGCUGGCAGGAGGGGCUGGGCUUGGGGUUUCUACAUCCACAGUUAGAGAGGUGUGGCUGGCUAAGACUCAGUUCUGUUUAGGGACUCUCACUCCCAAACACCCUGGGCCCCCGGGUGGUCCAGAACACAGAAGGUCCUAACAGGGUCCCCAUCUACUCUGGGACUGUCUCUAAGGGCAUUAGUUGGACACAGCUGCAAAUGUUGGCUUCUGGGCCACCUCGAAAGCCUGUAAGUAAUCCAAGGAGCCAGCAGGGGGCAUAGCGAGUCUCCUGCUGGACAGAGGCAAACACUGAGAGCAUUGAAGUCAGGGGGCCGAGCAGCACUCCUAACCGCUGUCCACCCUUCCCUCCCAGGGAGCCAGAGCUGUGACAGUGCCCACCUGACAGGUACCACAGGAAAUGGCCACCCUGAGCCCAUGUCCAGGGCAUUCUCUCAGGGACGGUGGACCACGGGACCAGAUGUUGACAGUGUGUCCAAGAACGAGCAAACACAGCUUCCUCUUCCCAUCUGACGGCAAGCUGAGACCACGCCCCCAGACCACGCCCCCAGACCACGCCCCCCGAGAGACGCCCAGCCCACGGGAACUAGCUGACCCUGCUCCUUGUGCUGCACUUACUAGUUACUUCUCCAGCCUGCUGCCAUGCUCUCUGCCAUGAUGAGGAUAGACCAAGCCCCUGAAACUGUAAGCAAGCUCCCAAUUAAAUGCUUUCUUUUAUAAGAGUUGCCUUAGUCAUGGUGUCUUUUCAAAGCAAUAGAACAGUGAGGCACCUGGGGACAUGGAAGGGUCAAAUGCUGACAACACUCAGGAGCAAUACAGGAUGCAUGAGGACUGAGGAUGCCAUCUUACCUGUCCACUCCAGGCAACCUUGCACAGACCCUCCCCAGGGGCAGCCUUUAAGGGAGUAGUUUCCUGCCCCAGAAUGCCAUGCAGCUAAACCUUGGGUAGGUAAGCACAAACCAAAGUUCUAGCUGCCUAAAAACCUAGGCUCUGGUCCAAGAGCCUGAUUUCCCUGCCAAGAGAAUGCAGUGGUGCAUCUAGAAUGUUCUUUUCCAAGCAGUUCAUGUUCCACUUGAAUUUACAUGGACACAGGCAAAUGUGUGUUCUGGUCACCCAAGGCUUUCUUUUUGGGGUUUUUAACAUAUGCACUUUUAGCAUAUGCACUUCCAAAUAAAUUUAAGUGUGUUUGAAAAUAAACCAGCUGAGUGUGGCAGUGCACACCUAAUCCUGGCACUUGGGGGUUGAGUUAGGGGGGCUACCACAAUUUCAAGGCUAGUCUGGGUUGUAAAGCAAGACCUUGUUUUGGGGAAAAAAGAAUAAACUCACUUGAAGAAGUGAUUAAAUAUAUAACUGUCAGAAUGGCCAGUGAUUUACCAAAACCUGGGAAAAUGGCACGUAUGUGACAGUCCAGGGAACAAAAACACACCAACAGUCCUCAGAGUGAGACCUGGGGGCCAUGAGUCUAGGAGAACACUCCAGACAGUCGAGGAUGUCAUCACUGUUUUCACAAGAAUGCCAAGAAGUGAUAUGUCUUGUGAACCAUGUUGACACAAGAUGGUUCAGAAACAAUGAUGAGUGAAACUGCCAGUGCCUCAGAACUUACUACAACACUAGCAUCAAGUUCACAGCCAGCAGACGUCUGUUCUUCACAACUACAUACACUCUCUCAAAAAAUGAAAUAAAAGGAAAGAAGGAAGGGAGGGAGGGAGGAAGGAAGAAAGAGGCCAGUGCUGUGGGAUGGUCUGUAUGUCAAAUGUGUUGCUGAUUGGUCGAUAAAUAAAACACUGAUUGGCUAGUAGUCAGACAGGAAGUAUAGGCAGGACUAACAGAGAGGAGAAUUGAGAGAACAGGAAGGCGGAGGGAGACACUGCCAGCAGCCGCCAUGACAAGCAGCAUGUGAAGAUGCCGGUAAGCCAUGAGCCAUGUGGCAAGGUAUAGAUUUAUAGAAAUGGGUUAAUUUAAGAUAUAAGAACAGUUAGCAAGAAGCCUGCCACGGCCAUACAGUUUGUAAGCAAUAUAAGUCUCUGUGUUUACUUGGUUGGGUCUGAGCGGCUGUGGGACUGGCAGGUGACAGAGAUUUGUCCUGACUGUGGGCCAAGCAGGAAAACUCUAGCUUCAGGCCAGCUCCACUGAAGAAUGCAUCAGUAAGAAUUAGACAGCUGUGUGAGUUACCAGCUCAACUAACUGCUUUGGUUGAUGGAAGGUAGCAAAGACCACCAAAUAAACUAGCAGUGUUUAGCCUUAGCCACCAAGUAUACAUAAUAGAGACAAUGCCAGGCAUGGUGGUGCAUACCUUUAAUCCCAGCACUUGAGAGGCAGAGGCAGGAAGAUCUCUAAGAUUGAGGCCAGCCUGGUCUACAUAUCAAGUUCCAGAUCAAUCAGAGAUACAUAGUGAGUUCUUGUUUCAAAACAAAACAAAGCAAACAAACAAAAGAUUGAAUGCAGUGAGCCUGUUGCUGUGAAUAUGUGUUGAUCUGAUUGGUUGAUAAAUAAAACGCUGAUUGGCCAGUAGCCAAGCAGGAAGUAUAGGCAUGGCAAGCAAACGAGGAGAAUUCUGGGAAGAGGAAGGACUGAGUCAGGAGUCCCCAGCCAGACACAGAGGAAGCAAGAUAACAAGGCAGAACUAAGAAAAUGUACCAAGCCACGUGGCUAAACAUAGGUAAGAAUUAUGAGUUAAUUUAAGUGUAAGAGCUAGACAGUAAGCCUCAGCUAAUGGCCAUACAGUUCAUAAUUCAUAUAAGCCUCUGUGUGUUUAUUUGGGUCUGAGUGGCUGCAGACUGGGCAGACACAGAAAAACUUCAAACUACAGGGUAGUAGUGGUGCAUGUCUUUAAUCCCAGCACUUGGGAAGUAGGCAGAUCUCUGUGAGUUUGAGGCUAGCCUGGUCUACAGAGCAAGUUCCAGGACAGCCAGGGCUACACAGAGAAGCCCUGUCUUGGGCGGAGAUUCAAACUUUAAAAAAAAGCAACCACAAUUUUCCCAUAUUUGCCUAUGCUGUGAUGGGCUUAACCACUUCCUUACAUUGAAAGGCUUUCCUGCUACACAUUCACUGCACCAGUAUUUUCCAAUGUCAACAUGAAGUCAUGCAUGUAUAAGGGGAUCCCUGCAAAGUACAAGAGGAGCCAGGGGCAGCGGGGGUGACAACAUUCAGGCAAAUGGCUUCAGAGAGGCCCACGCAGUUAGCAUGUCAGAGUUCUGGCAUGACCAAUUCUGGCACAGCAUCAAAGCAAUUCAGCAAGCAGCUAAAAAGGUGUACACUUCCCAUCCAUGGGGGGAGGGUGGGAAGGUGGCUCUAGAGCUUCCUGAGUGCUUUAACAUGCCCCAGGAGACAUGAGGAUUCAUGUGUAUUCUGCAUAAAAAGAUUCAUAAAAGUUUCACAAUGUGUAAAACAAUGUCACAUGUUUUACUCAUUAAUUUUAUUUUGGUUUGGAAAAUAAAGUUUUCCAUAGAAAUGUUACUGAUAGCCAGGUGUGGUGACAUACACCUUUGAUCCCAGCACUUGGGAGGCAGAGGCAGGACCUCUGAGUUUGAGGCCAACCUGGUCUACAGAGUCAGGGCUACACAGAGAAACCCCGUCUUGAAAAAAACAAAACAACAAACAACAACAAAAAGGGAAGGGAGGAAGAAAAAGAAGAACAAGACACGCCCCUGAUGCGGGCGGCUGUGCUACCAACCUCCCUGGUCUUACUAGGGUUUAGCCUCUUGGGCAAUGUACCCACUACAGUCAUAGAACAAAACAGGCUGUCCUUGACUGCGGCUGACUGCUUCCCUCAGAGUCUCAUCCGAGACUAGAUGGAUAGCAGAUGGUACUCUUCCUGCCACGGGCGAAGCAAGCUCACACUCUUGUCUCAGCAUACUGGAGACACUUUAAGGCCGAAGUCUAUUUCCUAACAAACCAAUGGCUGCCCCCCAGGCCCUUUGGGCUAAGGAUGUCUGAUGAUGUAGCAACCAAGGAAAGGAGGGGAGUGAGCUGAGGCACAGGUGCCUCUCUUGUUCCUCCCACACCCCCACCACGGCUGGCAGGGCCAGCACAGGGAGGCCAUGGGUCCCA